CCUACGGAGUCAGCAGUGGGGAAUAUUGCACAAUGGGGGACACACUGAUGCAGCGUCGCCGCGUGAGUGAAGAAGUAUUUCGGUAUGUAAAGCUCUAUCAGCAGGGAAGAAAAAAGACGGUACCUGACUAAGACGCUCCGGCUAACUACGUGCAAGCAACCGCGGUAAUACGUAGGGGGCAAGCGUUAUCCGGAUUUACUGGGUGUAACGGGAGCGUAGACGGCGCGGCAAGUCUGAAGUGAAAGGCAGGGGCUUAACCCCUGAACUGCUUUGGAGACUGCCAGGCUAGAGUGCUGGAGAGGUAAGUGGAAUUCCUAGUGUAGCAGUGAAAUGCGUAGAUAUGAGGAGGAACACCAGUGGCGAAGGCAGCUUACUGGACAGUAACUGACGUUGAGGCUCGAAAGCGUGGGGAGCAAACAGGAUUAGAUACCCUUGUAGUC
rnacentral:rRNA from 1 species